GCGAGGGUGUGCGGCGAGGUGCUGGCUUCGGGGGGAAGCGGCCACCACCGCCGGCCUCCGCCGCUCCGCGCCUCUCUCCCGGCCACCCUGCGCCGCCAGGGCCCCGCGGACCUGCAAACCCGAGGCCGAGAGCGGAACUGCCCUGCCGUUUCCCGGGCUCGGGGAUCUCGGGGCUCGCGAUGGCGAUGCGCCGCGAGGAAAGGCGAGGAGCUGCGUGGGGGCUGAGUGUCCUCGGAGCGCCGGGACGCGGGGAGCGCACGCCCCCGGGCUGGGGAAGCUGCCGCCCCGGGACCCCCUGGGCCAAGUCCCUCCAUCUUCGCGGCGCCCGAGCACUGAGGCCGGGGCGGCCGGCGCUCUGGCCUUGGAUGGAAAGUGGGAGAUGGGAUGCGGGGCUCCGGACCUCCUAACGUGGAUUACUUGGUGCGUCCCAGCCGGGCUCAGAAGACUCAGGACCUCCCUCCAUCCUUGGAUUGAUUCAUUCCACCUGGCCGUCGGGUCGCGUUACCCGGAGGUGAAGUCAGAAGUUUGAGGCUGGCCUGCGUAGAUGCUCCGAACCAGACAAAAAGAAGGAAGAUGCCCAACGGGUUACCUCCUCCAUCCCCUACAACACCGAAUCCUGACAGCUGCUCUCCAGCGGUUUUCGGAUAUGAUCCUUCCCCUCCCUUCUCGCCGCCACCCCGCUGAUCUUGACUUUGGUAGCACACGCUGGGAUACUCACGGGGGGCUCCAGCCUUUAGAUUUCCAGUCUUUUUUUUUUUUAUUUAAAUCUUUUUUUAUGGUUUUUAUUUUAUUUUUGAGAGACAGAGACAGCAGGAGCAGGGGAGGGUCAGAGAGAGAGGGAGACACAGAAUCUGAAGACAGGCUCCAGGCUCUGAGCUAGCUGUCAGCACAGAGCCCGACGCAGGGCUCGAACCUACACACCGUGAGAUCGUGACCUGAGUUGAAGCUGGAUGCUCAACCGACUGAGCCAUCCAGGCACCCCCAGUCUUUCUUUCCCCCAGAUAAUCCUAUCUGUGCUUUCUCUAGCCUGCUUUCUUUUUUUUAAAAUUUUUUUAAUGUUCUUUAUUUUUGAGAGACAGAGACAGACAGUGGGGAUGGGGGAAGGUCAGAGAGAGAGGGAGACACAGAAUGUGAAGCAGCCUCCAGGUUCUGAGCUAGCUGUCAGCACAGAGCCUGAUGCGGGGCUCAAACCCAGGAACCGAGAGAUCAUGACCUGAGCUGAAGCUGGACGCUUACCCGACUGAGCCACCCAGGCGCCCCUAGCCUGCUUUCUUAAACCCAGUAUUCAUCAUGGCUACUUUCUGAUCAAAAGAAAAAAUAAAUAAAUAAAACAAAACAAAACAAAAAGC
rnacentral:lncRNA from 1 species